GGGUGGAUGGCCGAGCGGUCUAAGGCGCUCGAUUCAAGUGUUGACACACUUCUGUCUCGUAAAGACACGGAGCAUUCGAGUAUCGUAAGAUGCGUGGGUUCGAAUCCCACUCCACUCA
rfam:Coniochaeta ligniaria NRRL 30616 unplaced genomic scaffold CONLIGscaffold_6, whole genome shotgun sequence.